rnacentral:rRNA from 1 species
AUUGAACGCUGGCGGAAUGCUUUACACAUGCAAGUCGAACGGCAGCACGGACUUCGGUCUAGUGGCGAGUGGCGAACGGGUGAGUAAUGUAUCGGAACGUGCCCAGUCGUGGGGGAUAACGUCGUGAAAAUUACGCUAAUACCGCAUACGAUCUAUGGAUGAAAGCGGGGGAUCGCAAGACCUCGCGCGAUUGGAGCGGCCGAGAUCAGAUUAGGUAGUUGGUGGGGUAAAGGCCCACCAAGCCAACGAUCUGUAGCUGGUCUGAGAGGGCGACCAGCCACACUGGAACUGAGACACGGUCCAGACUCCUACGGGAGGCAGCAGUGGGGAAUUUUGGACAAUGGGCGAAAGCCUGAUCCAGCCAUUCCGCGUGCAGGAUGAAGGCCCUCGGGUUGUAAACUGCUUUUGUACAGAACGAAAAGGUUUCUACUAAUACUAGGAGCUCAUGACGGUACUGUAAGAAUAAGCACCGGCUAACUACGUGCCAGCAGCCGCCGUAA